AUUGAACGCUGGCGGCAUGCCUUACACAUGCAAGUCGAACGGUAACGCGGGGCAACCUGGCGACGAGUGGCGAACGGGUGAGUAAUGCAUCGGAACGUGCCUGGUAGUGGGGGAUAACUGCUCGAAAGAGCAGCUAAUACCGCAUACGACCUGAGGGUGAAAGGGGGGGGUCGCAAGACCUCUCGCUAUCAGAGCGGCCGAUGUCGGAUUAGCUAGUUGGUGGGGUAAAUGCCCACCAAGGCGACGAUCCGUAGCUGGUCUGAGAGGACGACCAGCAACACUGGGACUGAGACACGGCCCAGACUCCUACGGGAGGCAGCAUUGGGGAAUUUUGGACAAUGGACGCAAGUCUGAUCCAGCCAUGCCGCGUGCGGGAAGAAGGCCUUCGGGUUGUAAACCGCUUUUGUCAGGGAAGAAAUCUUCUGGGUUAAUACCUCGGGAGGAUGACGGUACCUGAAGAAUAAGCACCGGCUAACUACGUGCCAGCCGCCGCGGUAAGAC
rnacentral:rRNA from 1 species